rnacentral:lncRNA from 1 species
UACAUCAACAGCCGACUCCUUCUACCCUGUCAAAAGCAAUUCGCCAUUUUCCUAGUUAGAAACUCAAUUUCGCCAGAAAUUUUCCAGCGACAAUUUCAAUAGUUUGAGAAAUAAGGUGAAUUCCUUGAUUUUCCAUCUUGUGCAGUACGAGCUUGAAGAAAAAGUUAUGUUUGAAUUUUAGGGUUUUUCCGAAAAUUGGGGAUUUAAUGUUUGAGUUGAAGUUUGAUCUUGAUAUUGAGAUAUAUUAUGUUUCAAGUGUUCCUAAGCAUGAUUAUGAUGGUUAAUUGCAUAAAUUCUUACUUGAUUUUGGAUUUUUCUCAAGUUAGUGUAAACCCUAGGUUUGAGUUCGAAAAUUCUGAUUAUGUUCUUGAAUAAAUGAGUUUAUACAUGUGCUCUUGAGCUGGAAUUAUGUUAUAUAUGAGUAUAUUAUGAGUUUGCACUGUAUGGUUGUGAGAUUGAUUUUGUUAGUUUAGGUGAAGUUGGGGCUUUUGAAUUGAGAAGGUUUAUAUGCUAUUGUUUGAUGGAGAUAUGUAUACUAUAAUGUGAUUUUAUUAAUUAUUGAGGUUAGAAUAGCCCUACUACCCAAUUCUUUUGUAAAGCUCUGUUGUAUAAACAGUAGGGAAGUGAUAAAGUUGUUAUUUUUAUGCAUAUAGUUGAGAUUAGUAGUAUUGAUUGAGGUUAAUUUAGCUCAUUGAGGUUUCUUUUUAAAGAGAUUGAGAUGAUUGAUAAUGUUAGUUUAUUAAACUAUAUAUAUGCGUAUUUAUUGAGAGUUGAUGAACAUCAUUUAACUCAUUCUUUUAUCUUUCCUUAUUGAAUUUAGAGAAAUGGUUUUAGUAUGUUGAUGAUGUGACGUGAGGAAAUGUUAGGAUAAUAAGUAAAUAGCAAGUAUGAGUUAUCGUUGUAAUAUUAUAUAUAUAUAUAUAUAUAUAUAUAUAUUUUUCCUUACUCAUUUUUCUUACAAAAAAUCUUUAUCUAUUUAAAGGUUCCGGCUAGGAACGAGCCCGACACUAGAGUACGAAGUAAGAGAAACAUAUCAGGUGGGCUUACUAACUCAAGAAACAAAGAUGCAUACUUAUAUAUAUAAAGUUUAAGUGUAUGCAUUUAUUUUCAAAUUGUUGACUUGCCAAUGUUUAAGAUUUGUAUGAUACCAUCUACAUAGAAGAACGAAUUCGGGUCCUGAGCGAGUCAGGAUUUGUGUACACAGAGUGACGGUUAACCUUGAGUUAGCUUGUCGUUACGUUUGGGAAGGAGGCCUACUUCUCAACGUGUUUAUUGAGACUAGUAGAUAUGGUACAUACUUAUAUGAGAACUUAGUCUGCGCAGACACUUUCAAAUACUAUGUAAAAACAGUUUAGCAAACACAGGUUGCUUCAGAAAAUCCCUUGUGUAUUGCUUAAAGUGGCAAGUUCAAUAUAUAGCAUUAUCAUGCAGAGUUUUAAAUGUUUUCGGCAUAUGUUCACUGAGUGCUUGUGGUACUCAGCCCUGCAUAUCUUUCUAAAUGUGCAGGUUAAGUUUGGAUGAAGAUGGAAGUGUGCUGAGCUGGAGCUUUUUGUUAUGUAAAUAGUAAUAGGCUCAGGAUGUUGUGUCUUCAUACAUAACGUCCAAUGAUGUACUCCGCUGCAACACUUUAUUUCUCUUAUCACUUUUGACGUGUUGUAGAAUGUUUGAAAACCUUAACCUGUAUAUGAGCUAGUUAAAUCUUGGUUAUGAUAUGUAUUUGGUUUAAACUUCUUUUGUUAAAGGUUGGUGGUUAUAUAUGUGAGUUAAUUAUUUAUUUGUCUUAGUUUCCUUUCAAUUACUUUCUCUCGUUCUCCACCCUAGUCGUACGAUACCUGGUCUAGCUAUGUUUCUCCUAGGCCGGGCUGCGACAAAGUGGUAUCAGAGCAGGCCCUUUGCUCUGAGCCUAAUUUAUUUUGAGUUUAGUCUAGAUUGUAUCUCUAGACUACUAGAAUAUUAAUGAUGAAUGCUCAGCGCGCACACCAUAUCAUCCAGCUUAAUCAGGUAUGAGUUUAAAUUAUUUUCUUCCUUUUGGUAAAAAAAUUAUGAUGUGAUUUAAAGAGUUUGAGUUACUGAUAAAUGAAAUGAUGGAUGAUACUAUUUAUGAGAUUCUUGGAGUGAUGUUUCAGUUUAGAAUGGAUAUGAAUUUUAUUACAUGAAUUAUGAGAUUGUUUUGGGUUAUUAUUGUUCAUUUCAAACUUGUUAUGAUUUUGUAAGUAAGAUAAUGUCUAAUUAUUCAAGUAUGUGUUAUUUGAGUGAACUAUUUCAUUAUUUGGGAGAUUUAUUAGGAGUUAGUUUUUAUGAGUAUUAUGUUAAGCUAAGUUGUAAAGGUUAUAUUGGGCAGGAUGGCUCGUACCCUACGUACCGCGAGGAAGAGAGUUAGUGCUAGAGCGACACGGGAUGAGAUCCGCUGGGAGUACCUUCACUAUGGCAUGUGCUGGAGAGACACAUUGGGGGAAUUUCUUGCCCACUUCCAUGAGCACUGGUUGGCAGCUAGUAUGUAUGGGAUCUCCUCGUAUGAUGGCAUUAUUCGACUGUUGACUCUACUUCCAUCCGACUGGAAGGGUUGGGCGACCUCCAUUGCCUCAGACUACUUAUACCAUUAUGGUUAAGAGUACGACCUGUAUGUAGAUUUUCCAGGUUUCGUGGCAGCGGUUAGUCAUCAGUAUUACCGCUAUGGGGCAGCUCCUUAUGGACCAUACACAUUACCAGGAGACUACAUCCAAGCUGGAGGAGGAAUUGCCGAUUUCUUACCACGAGAUGACCCUGCUCCGUAUGUGCCGCCCGAGCCAGUUCAGGUGGCCCCACUCCUCGAGUCUGACACUGAUGACGAGAUAGCUGCUCUACUUCGUUCUCCUACACCGAUUUACAUAGUGGUUUCCUCUGAUAGUGAGACAACUUCUCAACAAACACUCACGUUUGACUGUACCAUCCUUGGAACCCGCACCCGCGACGAGUUUGAAGCUGGACCUUCCAGACCGCCUGGUGUACCUCGAGAUCAUGUGGAUUCUCCUGGAAUGCAGCCAGCUGUUGGAACCAUACGCCGAGAACCGAUAGAUCUAAAUCAAGCGAAUGUGAUAGUCGACUCGGAUGAUACACACGAGGCAGAGACACACAGUCAGACGAUACGUGUGUUCUUGAGGAGGGAUUCUGCAGGUAAGGGUGUAAGAGUUCACGAGGUUCCACGAGAUGAGGGCGAGACAGAGACGGAGCCUAGCGAGUCCAGUGCAGCAUGAGCAGAUGUUAGCUACUCUUUGAUGAUGGUUAGAUAGGAGGUGUAGUAACUUUAUGUAUGUACAUAGAUGUAUAUAGCUAUGUGUGGUGUGUAGAUGUAUAUAUGUGUUUUGAUGAUACGGAUGCGGAGUCUAGUAGAUCGCACCGUGGCAUAGUACUAGUUGUGAUGUUUAUAUAGUAGAACAUCAGGAUUAGUACUAGGGAUUUUUGUUGUACAUAUCCCUGCUAUUUUGUAAAAGUCCUCCGAGGAGGCAUCUUUUACCUGAUGAUAUAUGGUGAUGACCUACGCGGUCAUUUAGUAAAUUUCAUGAG